rnacentral:rRNA from 1 species
UACGUAGGGUGCAAGCGUUAAUCGGAAUUACUGGGCGUAAAGCGUGCGCAGGCGGUUGUGUAAGACAGAUGUGAAAUCCCCGGGCUCAACCUGGGAACUGCAUUUGUGACUGCACAGCUGGAGUGCGGCAGAGGGGGGAUGGAAUUCCGCGUGUAGCAGUGAAAUGCGUAGAUAUGCGGAGGAACACCGAUGGCGAAGGCAGCCCCCUGGGCUAACACUGACGCUCAGGCACGAAAGCGUGGGGAGCAAACAGG